GACGAACGCUGGCGGCGUGCUUAACACAUGCAAGUCGAACGCUGAACCCGCUUCGGUGGGGGAUGAGUGGCGAACGGGUGAGUAACACGUGGGCAACCUGCCCCCGGCUCUGGGAUAACUCCAAGAAAUUGGGGCUAAUACCGGAUGUGACCGCUGGCCGCAUGGUCUGGUGGUGGAAAGGGUUUCCGGCUGGGGAUGGGCCCGCGGCCUAUCAGCUUGUUGGUGGGGUAGUGGCCUACCAAGGCGACGACGGGUAGCCGGCCUGAGAGGGUGACCGGCCACACUGGGACUGAGACACGGCCCAGACUCCUACGGGAGGCAGCAGUGGGGAAUAUUGCGCAAUGGGCGGAAGCCUGACGCAGCGACGCCGCGUGGGGGAUGACGGCCUUCGGGUUGUAAACCUCUUUCAGCAGGGACGAAGCGCAAGUGGCGGUACCUGCAGAAGAAGCACCGGCCAACUACGUG
rnacentral:rRNA from 1 species